CACUGACCAACAACAAUUCAACUUAGUAUCAAGUUCAUGGCAGUAGCAGCAAAAGCAAGAUAGUAGUAGUGUUAUCACACAUCAUUCGUUACAACCAAAGCUUACAUAAAUAGUUAGUGUUAAAUUGUUAAUGCUGGUCGAACAGUGUGAUCACAUUCUACUUGGACAGCACGCCAUCUUGACAGUUGGUUUCAAGGAUCUGAACAUAUGGUCAGGGAGGAAUCUGCUGACUGCUGUGCUCCUAGCCUCCUACUGGAGUUAAAUUGCAAGAUCCUACAUAGAUAUACAUGGACACAAGUUACUGACUGAAAACUGAAAAGAGAAGACACAAUAAAUACAUGAAUGUUGCUGUACUGGAUAUCAAUCACCUGAAGGCCUUCUUGAACUUCUUGAAGAACGGACCAAAAACUAGCAGGUUGUCCUUCAUCAGUAACAAGGCCUACAUAGGAUUGCAAGAAUAUUUUUCAAUUAGAAGCUAUCAAGUAUGAACUACAUGAGGAAAAAAACAUUGAAUAACUGGACAAAAACAUGAAGAAUUGUAAAUUGC
rnacentral:lncRNA from 1 species